CUGCAGCUUCUGCUCCGGCAGUGCGUGUGUCCUCGUUCCCUCUCACCUUGUGACACACAACCCAAACACACACACCCAACGAUGCAGACACACCCACAUACACACUCACACACACACACACACACACUGCUCUAGUGAUUAUUACAAUGCAAGGUGAGGUGUAAUGUGAUGUGUUCGUUCCACCUUGUAUUCACCCACUUAUUUGAGUUACUCACCGUAACUUAUGGGAUCGAUCUGAUGGGGAACCACUAGGCCCUCUGGCCUUUAUCAAUAAACCUUCGGACCCCCAACACAAACCACGGUUUGUGUUGGGGGUCCGAAGGUUAGGACCGACAGGGUUAGCUUGAUUUAGUGUGUCCAGUGAGGAGGCCUCCCACGUGGGCCGAUCAGGUGCAGGGUUAGUCGAUGUGUCACUGGGGGGAAACCUGCAGCGUGCGCUUAGUACCUCCCCCUGACUCAUGUCUUAGGGUGCGGGGUGGGUAGAUCACUGGGUACUGGAUGGGUAGGUUAGUGAUGGAUGGGUAGGUUAGUGAUGGAUGGGUAGGUUAGUGAUGGAUGGGUAGGUUAGUGAUGGAUGGGUAGGUUAGUGAUGGAUGGGUAGGGUAGUGAUGGAUGGGUAGGUUAGUGAUGGAUGGGAAGGUUAGUGGAGCUGGAUGGGUAGGUUAGUGGAGCUGGAUGGGUAGGUUAGUGAUGGAUGGGUUGGUUAAUGGAGCUGGAUGGGUAGGUUAGUGAUGGAUGGGUAGGUUAGUGAUGGAUGGGUAGGUUAGUGAUUGUCGGGGCGGAGGACAGUUAUAUUGCCGUGGAUCCACCCUGCUGAGAGCCACAUUAAGGCUUGGGGGGGGGGGGGGGGGGGCUGA